rnacentral:rRNA from 1 species
ACGGAAGGCAGCAGUGGGGAAUAUUGCACAAUGGGGGAAACCCUGAUGCAGCGACGCCGCGUGGAGGAAGAAGGUCUUCGGAUUGUAAACUCCUGCUGUUGAGGAAGAAAAGGACGGUACUCAACAAGGAAGUGACGGCUAACUACGUGCCAGCAGCCGCGGUAAAACGUAGGUCACGAGCGUUGUCCGGAAUUACUGGGUGUAAAGGGAGCACAGGCGGGUAGACAAGUUGGGAGUGAAAUGCAUGGGCCCAACCCAUGAACUGCUCUCAAAACUGUAGAUCUUGAGUAGUGCAGAGGUAGGCGGAAUUCCCGGUGUAGCGGUGGAAUGCGUAGAUAUCGGGAGGAACACCAGUGGCGAAGGCGGCCUACUGGGCACCAACUGACGCUGAGGCUCGAAAGUGUGGGUAGCAAACAGGAUUAGAUACCCUGGUA